ACAAGCGGUGGAGCAUGUGGUUUAAUUCGAUGCAACGCGAAGAACCUUACCUGGGCUUGACAUCCCGGGAAGUCCCCUGGAAACAGGGGAGUGCCUUCGGGAACCCGGUGACAGGUGGUGCAUGGUUGUCGUCAGCUCGUGUCGUGAGAUGUUGGGUUAAGUCCCGCAACGAGCGCAACCCCUAUUGUUAGUUGCCAUCAUUCAGUUGGGCACUCUAGCGAGACUGCCGGUAAUAAACCGGAGGAAGGUGGGAUGACGUCAAAUCAUCAUGCCCCUUAUGACCUGGGCUACACACGUGCUACAAUGGUUGGUACAACGAGUUGCGAGUCGGUGACGGCGAGCUAAUCUCUUAAAGCCAAUCUCAGUUCGGAUUGUAGGCUGCAACUCGCCUACAUGAAGUCGGAAUCGCUAGUAAUCGCGGAUCAGCACGCCGCGGUGAAUACGUUCCCGGGCCUU
rnacentral:rRNA from 1 species